GACGAACGCUGGCGGCGUGCCUAAUACAUGCAAGUCGAGCGAAUCAAUAGGAGCUUGCUCCUGUUGGUUAGCGGCGGACGGGUGAGUAACACGUGGGCAACCUGCCUGUAAGACUGGGAUAACAUCGGGAAACCGAUGCUAAUACCGGAUAAUUCAUUCCCUCUCAUGAGGGAAUGUUGAAAGUCGGUUUCGGCUGACACUUACAGAUGGGCCCGCGGCGCAUUAGCUAGUUGGUGAGGUAACGGCUCACCAAGGCGACGAUGCGUAGCCGACCUGGGAGGGUGAUCGGCCACACUGGGACUGAGACACGGCCCAGACUCCUACGGGAGGCAGCAGUAGGGAAUCUUCCACAAUGGACGAAAGUCUGAUGGAGCAACGCCGCGUGAGCGAUGAAGGCCUUCGGGUCGUAAAGCUCUGUUGUUAGGGAAGAACAUGUACCGGAGUAACUGCCGGUACCUUGACGGUACCUAACCAGAAAGCCACGGCUAACUACGUGCCAGCCGCCGCCGUAA
rnacentral:rRNA from 1 species